AUUAUUAUUAUUAUUAUUAUUAUUAUUAUUAUUAUUAUUACUGAUUUAUAGCGUUGUCUUUAUUGCGUUAUUAUUGUUAGUUUUAGGGGUUCGCUGAGCACACCUCUAAACACAUUUUCCACUUCCCUAGAAACGAGGUCUAGGGGCUAGGACUACAGUGUAGAUAAUAUCUGUAAGCCGUUCACUACAGUGGGCAACACUACACGUCCCCUCUACAUUACACAAUAUUAUACCGAACUAAACUUCCAGUGCACAACAUCAUAUUCUCACAAUACUUCACGCUAUACACAAAUCACUCAGAAUUAUAUAAUAUUUCAUCACUACUAUAGAGGUACCGGCUAGCUUUUUAUUGCAUUGUGAAUGUUAGGCUUAGACAUAUAUCACUAUCAUUGAAACAACCAGAACCUAGUGACCUAGAAUACUUAUUCAGUUAUGUUUCUUUGAAAAGUUAUGAUAGAGAUGUUUUAUUUGGCUAUAUGAUUGAUUUCCCUAACUUGUUCUGUCUUUUAGAAGAGCAGGUAAACAUCAAGUACAGUCUUCCUGAGAAUAGCUACGUUGGUAAUAGAUAGUGAGAGUCUGUCAACAGGCGUUGAAAGAGGGACACCAUCAAUAUGAAAAAUAUUUAAUGCAAAAUACCAUACUAUUGUGCAUAUUUCUAUAUCCUUAUACUCUAUUUCCAAAUGUGGUUGUUUUUGCCUUUUUUUUGUGUUCCAAAGAUUUGUAGAAAAGCACACUUUUAGUCAUGUGUAUGAUAAAUAUAUUGUCGUUAUUGUGGUUAUUAUUAUAAGUGCUGUCUUUUUAUUUGUUGCAUUAGCUCUUGUUAUAUUUUUUCUAUUGGUAAAUGUUGUUGUUCCUCCUAAAGUAAGGUGACAUUUUCAUUUCCUCCAAGAUUAGUUGAAAUCUGAUUUUUUUUUCCUCCAUUGUUGUUUUCUUGGGCAGAGGGGAAUGGACUAUUUGGUAGUUUCAAAGAGGGAGGGAACCAUUUUACUGCUACUAAUGCCACUAUGACAUCAGCCUAUCUAGUGUUCUAUAUCUAUGGAGCGAAAAAACGGGAACGCAUGUAAAACUAAACUAUCAAAAAAAAUCUCAAUGGAAGAAACGGGAGUUUUUGGUCCAGACUGAAAUAGGGUGAUGGGGGUUGGCAAGCAUUGGAUUGAGUAUUUCCCCCCCAAAAAAAUAGGGAAAGGCUGAAAUGUUCGGGCCUCACAAUUUAUUCAAAAUCCAAAGUUUACAGUAGACAAAAAUACCUUGGAAUGAAUGGUGGCCUGACAAGCACUUCUUCUGACCUGGUGAAGUAACCUAGUCGAUCUGUCGUAGACAAAGACAACUAACAUUUCAGUGCUGAAAUUAGUCGGUUAAGGUUUAAAACGGAUGUGAAGAGCGUAGCACUCGUGUGCUGUCUAGGUUAAAGGGCAUGCAGUUUUGAAUGAUCCAAGUAUACAAAAGGUUGUAAGUGUUAUCGUUUGGUUUGUACAAUGGUAAAUGUUUCAAAGCAGUUUUACAAAGAAAAUGUUAUGUGGGGCAUGAACUAAUUACUAUGAAACAAUAUUUCAAAAUGCUGCAGUCAUUGUUUAUUUUGAAAUGUUUGCUCUAUUUUUCAUUUUAUCUUCGGUUUUCUGGCUGUGUGUACCACUCUUCUCAGUGUGAACCUAAUCUAAGACCCCUGACCUAACUGUUUUGCAUGAUUUGUCUGUCUUUUGAGAUCAGACUCCAACAGCAUUCGGUUGCAGUAGUCAUCUUUUGCCACUAAACACCAUUGAGAAUGCUAGGCAGCUAGCCCUUUUUUUAUGCUUAGGAUGCUAGUGUAGCAAAGAAGAGCAGAGUGCUGUUUGUCAAAGACUCAGGCCCAGUGAUGGGCAAAACAAAAUGGCCGCCACGAGGCAAGAACACAAUGGCAACGUUCUAAUUUCCAUACCAGCAUAUUACUUUGAAUUCAUACCUUGAUACAGUGCUUCAUACUAAGUAGUAUACUUGUGUGGAUAUUGGAACAGAGCCAUGGAGUAGGCUCAUUCCUUGUCAUGUUUUUUUGGCUCCUUGUAUGAUAUACAGUGAGGUGGUUCUUAAUCACUAUAGGUUCCAAAUGGAAGUGACUGUCCUUUUACGAAUCUCUUCCCCUCUCAUGUUUAUCCCUUGGCUGCCAUUAUGCUAUUUUGUUAGUGAAUGUCCA
rnacentral:lncRNA from 1 species